UACGUAGGGGGCUAGCGUUGUCCGGAAUCAUUGGGCGUAAAGCGCGUGUAGGCGGUCCGGUAAGUCCGCUGUGAAAGUCGAGGGCUCAACCCUCGAAUGCCGGUGGAUACUGUCGGGCUUGAGUACGGGAGAGGCGAGUGGAAUUCCUGGUGUAGCGGUGAAAUGCGUAGAUAUCAGGAGGAACACCUGUGGUGUAGACAGCUUACUGGACCAUAACUGACGCUGAGGCACGAAAGCGUGGGUAGCAAACAGG
rnacentral:rRNA from 1 species